CAGCCGCCGCGGUAAUACGAAGGGUGCAAGCGUUAAUCGGAAUUACUGGGCGUAAAGCGUGCGUAGGCGGUUUGUUAAGUCUGUUGUGAAAUCCCCGGGCUCAACCUGGGAAUGGCAAUGGAUACUGGCAAGCUAGAGUGUGUCAGAGGAUGGUGGAAUUCCCGGUGUAGCAGUGAAAUGCAUAGAGAUCGGGAGGAACAUCAGUGGCGAAGGCGGCCAUCUGGGACAACACUGACGCUCAGGUACGAAAGCGUGGGGAGCAAACAGGAUUAGAUACCUCCGUAGUCCCUGUCUCUUAUAU
rnacentral:rRNA from 1 species